GUGGGGAAUAUUGGACAAUGGGCGAAAGCCUGAUCCAGCCAUGCCGCGUGUGUGAAGAAGGUCUUCGGAUUGUAAAGCACUUUAAGUUGGGAGGAAGGGCAGUAAGUUAAUACCUUGCUGUUUUGACGUUACCGACAGAAUAAGCACCGGCUAACUUCGUGCCAGCAGCCGCGGUAAUACGAAGGGUGCAAGCGUUAAUCGGAAUUACUGGGCGUAAAGCGCGCGUAGGUGGUUUUGUAAGUUGGAGGUGAAAUCCCCGGGCUCAACCUGGGAACGGCCUACAAAACUGCAUGACUAGAGUACGGUAGAGGGUAGUGGAAUUUCCUGUGUAGCGGUGAAAUGCGUAGAUAUAGGAAGGAACACCAGUGGCGAAGGCGACUACCUGGACUGAUACUGACACUGAGGUGCGAAAGCGUGGGGAGCAAACAGGAUUAGAAACCCGUGUAGUCC
rnacentral:rRNA from 1 species